rnacentral:rRNA from 1 species
AUACGUAGGGGGCGAGCGUUGUCCGGAAUGAUUGGGCGUAAAGGGCGCGUAGGCGGCGCGGUAAGUCUGGAGUGAAAGUCCUGCUUUCAAGGUGGGAAUUGCUUUGGAUACUGCCGCGCUUGAGUGCAGGAGAGGUUAUCGGAAUUCCCGGUGUAGCGGUGAAAUGCGUAGAGAUCGGGAGGAACACCAGUGGCGAAGGCGGGUAACUGGACUGCAACUGACGCUGAGGCGCGAAGGUGUGGGGAGCAAACAGGAUUAGAUACCCUGGUAGUCCACACUGUAAACGAUGAAUGCUAGGUGUAAGAGGUAUCGACCCCUUUUGUGCCGGAGUCAACACAAUAAGCAUUCCGCCUGGGGAGUACGGCCGCAAGGUUGAAACUCAAAGGAAUUGACGGGG